rnacentral:rRNA from 1 species
GUCCAUAAUGACUCUCGGCAACGGAUAUCUCGGCUCUUGCAUCGAUGAAGAACGUAGCGAAAUGCGAUACUUGGUGUGAAUUGCAGAAUCCCGUGAACCAUCGAGUCUUUGAACGCAAGUUGCGCCUGAAGCCAUUAGGCUAAGGGCACGCCUGCCUGGGUGUCACCAA